rnacentral:rRNA from 1 species
AUUGAACGCUGGCGGCAGGCCUAACACAUGCAAGUCGAGCGGCAGCGGGAAAGUAGCUUGCUACUUUUGCCGGCGAGCGGCGGACGGGUGAGUAAUGCCUGGGGAUCUGCCCAGUCGAGGGGGAUAACUACUGGAAACGGUAGCUAAUACCGCAUACACCCUACGGGGGAAAGCAGGGGACCUUCGGGCCUUGCGCGAUUGGAUGACACCGGGUGGGAUUAGCUAGUUGGUGAGGUAAUGGCUCACCAAGGCGACGAUCCCUAGCUGGUCUGAGAGGAUGAUCAGCCACACUGGAACUGAGACACGGUCCAGACUCCUACGGGAGGCAGCAGUGGGGAAUAUUGCACAAUGGGGGAAACCCUGAUGCAGCCAUGCCGCGUGUGUGAAGAAGGCCUUCGGGUUGUAAAGCACUUUCAGCGAGGAGGAAAGGUUGGUAGCUAAUAACUGCCAGCUGUGACGUUACUCGCAGAAGAAGCACCGGCUAACUCCGUGCCAGCAGCCGCCGUAA